GAUGAACGCUGGCGGCGUGCCUAAUACAUGCAAGUCGAGCGAACAGACGAGGAGCUUGCUCCUUUGAUGUUAGCGGCGGACGGGUGAGUAACACGUGGGUAACCUACCUAUAAGACUGGGAUAACUUCGGGAAACCGGAGCUAAUACCGGAUAAUAUUUCGAACCGCAUGGUUCGAUAGUGAAAGAUGGCUUUGCUAUCACUUAUAGAUGGACCUGCGCCGUAUUAGCUAGUUGGUAAGGUAACGGCUUACCAAGGCAACGAUACGUAGCCGACCUGAGAGGGUGAUCGGCCACACUGGAACUGAGACACGGUCCAGACUCCUACGGGAGGCAGCAGUAGGGAAUCUUCCGCAAUGGGCGAAAGCCUGACGGAGCAACGCCGCGUGAGUGAUGAAGGUCUUCGGAUCGUAAAACUCUGUUAUUAGGGAAGAACAAACGUGUAAGUAACUGUGCACGUCUUGACGGUACCUAAUCAGAAAGCCACGGCUAACUACGUGCCAGCAGCCGCGGUAAUACGUAGGUGGCAAGCGUUAUCCGGAAUUAUUGGGCGCAAAGCGCGCGUAGGCGGUUUUUUAAGUCUGAUGUGAAAGCCCACGGCUCAACCGUGGAGGGUCAUUGGAAACUGGAAAACUUGAGUGCAGAAGAGGAAAGUGGAAUUCCAUGUGUAGCGGUGAAAUGCGCAGAGAUAUGGAGGAACACCAGUGGCGAAGGCGACUUUCUGGUCUGUAACUGACGCUGAUGUGCGAAAGCGUGGGGAUCAAACAGGAUUAGAUACCCUGGUAAUCCACGCCGUAAACGAUGAGUGCUAAGUGUUAGGGGGUUUCCGCCCCUUAGUGCUGCAGCUAACGCAUUAAGCACUCCGCCUGGGGAGUACGACCGCAAGGUUGAAACUCAAAGGAAUUGACGGGGACCCGCACAAGCGGUGGAGCAUGUGGUUUAAUUCGAAGCAACGCGAAGAACCUUACCAAAUCUUGACAUCCUUUGACCCUUCUAGAGAUAGAAGUUUCCCCUUCGGGGGACAAAGUGACAGGUGGUGCAUGGUUGUCGUCAGCUCGUGUCGUGAGAUGCUGGGUUAAGUCCCGCAACGAGCGCAACCCUUAAGCUUAGUUGCCAUCAUUAAGUUGGGCACUCUAAGUUGACUGCCGGUGACAAACCGGAGGAAGGUGGGGAUGACGUCAAAUCAUCAUGCCCCUUAUGAUUUGGGCUACACACGUGCUACAAUGGACAAUACAAAGGGCAGCGAAACCGCGAGGUCAAGCAAAUCCCAUAAAGUUGUUCUCAGUUCGGAUUGUAGUCUGCAACUCGACUACAUGAAGCUGGAAUCGCUAGUAAUCGUAGAUCAGCAUGCUACGGUGAAUACGUUCCCGGGUCU
rnacentral:rRNA from 1 species